GCUCUCAAAUUCACAGGAAUUGAACAGGAAGAAAUUUUUCUUGGCAUUCUCUAAUAUUUUCUCACUUUCUGGCAGAUUUUUCCACCAGAAGAAUAGAAAGUGUGGGGAACAGAGGAAGUCACACGUGCAUUUUGAUUUCGCAGAUGCCUACUUAUACAUGACCUUGGAGAAAAAGCCUCUCGCACAGGAAAUACAGACCACUUCCUAUACAAAGACCACAAGCGGGAUAAUUAUGGAAAUAAAUAUCGGAGCUGGAAGGGAUCCUAGAAAUAAUAUGAACCUCGGUCUUCACUUUGCAGAUGGGUAACUGAAGUCCGGAAGGACUACUGUUCCGCCCAAUAUCACAGAGCCUGUUUACGGGCAAGCCAGGGACAAAGCAUACGUGCACUGAUACCCAGUCGAGACCUGUCUCUAUCGGGUAUCUCUUCUUCAACCAGCAGUGGCUCCUAUUCACCAAAGGAAAAACAUACAAAUUCUGCUACAUGGCUCUUUAAGAUCUGCUGAAAUCUGCCUG
rnacentral:lncRNA from 1 species